GACGAACGCUGGCGGCGUGCUUAACACAUGCAAGUCGAACGGAAAGGCCUCUUUCGGGGGGUACUCGAGUGGCGAACGGGUGAGUAACACGUGAGUAACCUGCCCUUGACUUUGGGAUAACUUCAGGAAACUGGGGCUAAUACCGGAUAGGAGCUCCUGCUGCAUGGUGGGGGUUGGAAAGUUUCGGCGGUUGGGGAUGGACUCGCGGCUUAUCAGCUUGUUGGUGGGGUAGUGGCUUACCAAGGCUUUGACGGGUAGCCGGCCUGGGAGGGUGACCGGCCCCAUUGGGCCUAAGAAAGGCCCCAGACUCCAACGGGAGCAAGCGGUGGGAAUAAUUCCACAUGGGUGGAAGCCUGAUGCAGCAACGCCGUGUGCGGGAUGACGGCCUUCGGGUUGUAAACCGCUUUCGCUCAUGACGAAGCUUUGUGUGACGGUAGUGGGUAAAGAAGCACCGGCUAACUACGUG
rnacentral:rRNA from 1 species